AUUUAAAUAGUUUAAUUAAAAAUAUUGAAUUGUGAUUUCAAUGAUAUAUAAUAAAUAUAAAAUAUUUUAAAUU
rnacentral:tRNA from 2 species